UCCGUAGGUGAACCUGCGGAAGGAUCAUUGAAUKUAUCGUGCCCACACCGCGAACUUACUUAUGCCCUUCUGGAACAGGCAGACUUUGUUGUUUGCCCUUCAGUUGCGUAGGUCAGGGGUUGGCUCCUUUUGGUGUCAGUKCACGUUGACUGGGCGGGUCCAACACCAGCCGGAUUCAGCUUGCCUUCUAGGCUUGGGGUUCUGCCGGCUGUGAGGGGUGGCUGUUUAACUCACAUUAAGCAAUCAAUUCUGAAGGCAGAUCUACUGGCUGGCUUUGUUGGCUAUAGACUGAUUAAAUACAGACAACUCUCAACAACGGAUAUCUUGGCUCCCGUAACGAUGAAGAACGCAGCGAAAUGCGAUACGUAGUGUGAAUUGCAGAAUUCCGUGAACCAUCGAAUCUUUGAACGCAAAUUGCGCUCGAGGCCUCGGCCAAGAGCAUGUCUGCCUCAGCGUCGGCUACUACCCUCAACUAAGUUUCCUAUUACUAUAGGGAUGCCGGUUGGAUCUGGCUGUCCGGCUUUCCUUUCAGGUUGCCGGUCAGCUGAAAUACAUUCACGCUCUGGGGGCUGCUUUCCUUUCGAGGAAAGGCGGGUUCCGAUUUGGUAGGUGACCUUUGCCGGUUACAUGCCUUCGUUGCCCGCUAAGACUCCCAGUAAGCGUCGUGCAGGACGCCUUUUGGCUUUCGACCUGAGGUCAGGCAAGAACACCCGCUGAACUUAAGCAUAUCAAUAAGCGGAGGAAAAGAAACA
rnacentral:rRNA from 1 species